rnacentral:rRNA from 1 species
CAGCAGCCGCGGUAAUACGUAUGGGGCAAGCGUUGUUCGGAAUUAUUGGGUGUAAAGGGCGUCUAGGCGGGGAAUUAAGUUAGGUGUGAAAUCCAUGGGCUCAACCCGUGAACUGCAUCUAAAACUGAUUCUCUUGAGUUCGGGAGAGGAGAGCGGAAUUCCUGGUGUAGCGGUGAAAUGCGUAGAUAUCAGGAAGAACACCAGUGGCGAAGGCGGCUCUCUGGCCUAAAACUGACGCUGAAGCGCGAAAGCGUGGGGAGCGAACGGGAUUAGAUACCCCGGUAGUCCACGCCGUAAACGUUGUAUACUAGGUGUAAGUGGCUUGUUCACUUGUGCCGUCGCUAACGCAUUAAGUAUACCACCUGGGGAGUACGGCCGCAAGGCUUAAACUCAAAGAAAUUGACGGGGGCCCGCACAAGCGGUGGAGCAUGUGGUUUAAUUCGAUGAUACGCGAAGAACCUUACCUGGGCUUGAACUGCAUUUGACAGGUGUAGAGAUACACUCUCCUUCGGGCAGAUGUAGAGGUGCUGCAUGGUUGUCGUCAGCUCGUGUCGUGAGAUGUUGGGUUAAGUCCCGCAACGAGCGCAACCCCUACUCUCUGUUGCUAUCAGAUAAUGCUGGGCACUCUGAGGGAACUGCCGGUGAUAAACCGGAGGAAGGUGGGGAUGACGUCAAAUCAGCACGGCCCUUAUGUCCAGGGCUACACACGUGCUACAAUGGCCGGUACAAUGAGCUGCAAUACCGCGAGGUGGAGCUAAUCUCAAAAAACCGGUCUCAGUUCAGAUUGCAGUCUGCAACUCGACUGCAUGAAGUUGGAAUCGCUAGUAAUCGUGGAUCAGCACGCCACGGUGGAUACGUUCCCGGGCCUUGUACACACCGCCCGUCACACCACCCGAGUUGGCAGCGCCCGAAGUGGCUGAUCUAACCGUUUACGGAGGAAGGUUACUAAGGUGAAGCUGGUAAGGGGGGUGAAGUCGUAACAAGGUAGCCGUA